UUGAUCCUGGCUCAGAAUCAACGCUGGCGGCGUGCCUAACACAUGCAAGUCGAACGCGAAAGUCCCGCAAGGGAUCAGUAGAGUGGCAAACGGGUGAGUUACACGUGGGUGACCUGCCUUCGAGUGGGGGAUAACGUCCCGAAAGGGACUCUAAUACCGCAUGACAUCCUGCCUUUUAAGAGGUGGAGCUUAAAGCUGGUGAUCGCAAGACCUAGCGCUUGAAGAGGGGCCCGCGCCUGAUUAGCUAGUUGGUGGGGUAACGGCUCACCAAGGCAACGAUCAGUAUCCGGCCUGAGAGGUCGGACGGACACACUGGGACUGAGACACGGCCCAGACUCCUACGGGAGGCUGCAGUGGGGAAUUGUUCGCAAUGGGCGCAAGCCUGACGACGCAACGCCGUGUGGAGGAUGAAGACCUUCGGGUCGUAAACUCCUUUCGAUCGAGACGAAUGGCUUCCGGGUGAACAAUCCGGAAGAGUGACGGUACCGAGAGAAGAAGCUCCGGCUAACUCCGUGCCAGCAGCCGCGU
rnacentral:rRNA from 1 species